UACGGAGGGUGCAAGCGUUAUCCGGAUUUACUGGGUUUAAAGGGUGUGUAGGCGGGCUUUUAAGUCUGGGGUGAAAUCCCGAAGCUCAACUUCGGAACUGCCUUGGAUACUAUUAGUCUUGAAUUAUGUUGAGGUUGGCGGAAUAUAACAUGUAGCGGUGAAAUGCAUAGAUAUGUUAUAGAACACCGAUUGCGAAGGCAGCUAACUAAACAUAUAUUGACGCUGAGGCACGAAAGCGUGGGGAUCAAACAGG
rnacentral:rRNA from 1 species